rnacentral:misc_RNA from 1 species
GAAAGUAGGAGGUGGAACAGGAGAGCUCCAUUGUGGUGAAUUCCAAGGGUAAGGCCAAGGAGCCCCAGGGAAGAAUGGAAUCUGAGGAGGUAAAAAGCCUUGACAAUUAUGAAUCACUUGAUCUUGUGGCCCAGUUUUGCCUUCUUCAUUAUUUAUAAAUGAUGGAGUUGCAGCAGAUUCCUGAGACUGAUCAUCAUUUUCACCAUUCUCAUAAGCCACAGGAAUUUUCAGAGCUUCAGGUUUUUGAAAACCAUUUCUAGUACUAUUCUGCCUUGUUUUAUCAGCAAUGUUCAAAAUG